AUCUUCGGCGAACGUUUGCAGUCGCAAACUUCCAAUGCUUGGCGACUGCGUCUAAAAUGCCGUCGCAACUAGAGAACAACUACGAGCCCAAUUCUCUUAUUAAAUCUAUUUUCUCAUAAAAAAACCCUAGCCUAUUUCUCUCAAUCCCUGUUCUCUACCGCAUCCCUCUUUCUCUUUCUCUCUGUUCUCGAUCUCACUGAAGCAGAUCGGAUCGGAACUUCCCGUCGCUGGUCCUCCGUGUUCAGUCUCUCCGCUCAGUCCUCUCUCUCUCUCGCUCAGCGGCUCAGUUGUUGUCGUUCUCUCUCUCUCUCUUAUACAUAUCACUUUGUCUCAGCGGCUCAGAACCAGAUCGGAACCGGCGGCUUCAGCUUCUUCAUCGCUCAGUAGCUCUUGCUCUCUCUUUCUCUCUGCGCGCGCGGCUGCUCUGAAGACUGAAACCAGAUCUUUCCGAACCAAAAGAAAACCCCCAAAGCCUUCUCUCUCAGCCUCUCUCACAUCUAGCCCUAAAUCGCUCUUCGUUGGGUGGAGAAAUAGAAGAGGUUGUAUAAGCUAGAGAGUUGUUGGAAAUGAAUGCUGAAGCUUUGCAAGUUGCUAAGGCAUACCGCCACCUUCUCAAAGCUGUCAAGAACCACGUUGCCAAAGAAGACACUAAGCGGCAUUUCAGAGAUUAUGUAACUGAAGAAUUUAGAUUCACAUGAAAAACCCAGAUACCAUGGAGUUUCCUACCUAAUUGAUUUUUUCCUGUGGUUUUCUUUGAAAUUUGCAGGUAUUUGAGCAAUUAUGGUUCCAGGGUAGUGGUAAACAAUUCUGGUGUGGAAGAAAACAAGGAAAAGACGGUGGUUAUCUAAAGCUUGACUUGUACGAGAAUUCUGUUAUCUAAAGUUGGGGAACUGCAUAUUUACCUUGCUAGCAAUCUAAUUUCAUGGUAUAAUUUCUUCAUUUUGUUUCUGUUUUUACUAGCUUUUCUGUUUAUACUUUUGGGCUAUGUUUGUUACAUGGGAUUGGACUGGAUUGGAGUAACUUAUGUAAGAAAAUAAGACUCAUCCCACGUUUGGCACACAUGAGGACUCAAUUAAAUGAGAUUAGAGGACUCAAUUGAAUGUUGAUCAAUUCUGGGUUUUUUCUUUCUUUCAACAACGUCUGUGUUUUUAUCUUCUUAUUUGGUUGUUUGUUUUCAUUGAUUUUGGAUGUUGAUCAAUUCUGGGUCAAGUACCUGUAACUGGUC